UACGGGGGGGGCAAGCGUUGUUCGGAAUUACUGGGUGUAAAGGGUUCGUAGGCGGUGCGGCAAGUCGGGAGUGAAAUCUCUGGGCUCAACCCAGAGGCUGCUUCCGAAACUGCUGUGCUUGAGUGUGGGAGAGGCGCGUGGAAUUGCAGGUGUAGCGGUGAAAUGCGUAGAUAUCUGCAGGAACACCCGUGGCGAAAGCGGCGCGCUGGACCACUACUGACGCUGAAGAACGAAAGCUAGGGGAGCAAACAGG
rnacentral:rRNA from 1 species